rnacentral:rRNA from 1 species
UACGUAGGUGGCAAGCGUUGUCCGGAUUUACUGGGCGUAAAGGGCGUGCAGGCGGUUUGUUAAGUGCAGGGUGAAAGCUCCCGGCUCAACUGGGAGAGGUCCUUGCAUACUGGCAAACUCGAGGGAGGCAGAGGAAAGUGGAAUUCCCGGUGUAGUGGUGAUAUGCGUAGAUAUCGGGAGGAACACCGGUGGCGAAGGCGGCCUUCUGGACAGUGACUGACGCUGAGACGCGAAAGCGUGGGGAGCAAACAGG